UACAGAGGGUGCAAGCGUUGUUCGGAAUUACUGGGCGUAAAGCGCGUGUAGGCGGCGAUGUAAGUCGGGUGUGAAAUCCCUUGGCUUAACCAAGGAAGUGCACUCGAUACUGUGUCGCUUGAGUACCGGAGGGGAUGGCGGAAUUCCCGGUGUAGAGGUGAAAUUCGUAGAUAUCGGGAGGAACACCUGUGGCGAAGGCGGCCAUCUGGACGGUGACUGACGCUGAGACGCGAAAGCGUGGGUAGCAAACAGG
rnacentral:rRNA from 1 species